AUUGAACGCUGGCGGCAUGCCUUACACAUGCAAGUCGAACGGUAACAGGUCUUCGGAUGCUGACGAGUGGCGAACGGGUGAGUAAUACAUCGGAACGUGCCCGAUCGUGGGGGAUAACCAGGCGAAAGCUUUGCUAAUACCGCAUACGAUCUACGGAUGAAAGCGGGGGAUCUUCGGACCUCGCGCUGACGGAGCGGCCGAUGGCAGAUUAGGUAGUUGGUGGGAUAAAAGCUUACCAAGCCGACGAUCUGUAGCUGGUCUGAGAGGAUGAUCAGCCACACUGGGACUGAGACACGGCCCAGACUCCUACGGGAGGCAGCAGUGGGGAAUUUUGGACGAUGGGCGAAAGCCUGAUCCAGCCAUGCCGCGUGCAGGAUGAAGGCCUUCGGGUUGUAAACUGCUUUUGUACGGAACGAAAAGCCUCUUUCUAAUAAAGAGGGGUCAUGACGGUACCGUAAGAAUAAGCACCGGCUAACUACGUGCCAGCCGCCGCAGUAA
rnacentral:rRNA from 1 species